rnacentral:lncRNA from 1 species
GGCGGGCGCCCAGCCCCCGAGCCCGAAUCGCGUCCCGUUCGUUCCCGUGGCUUCUGGAUCCUUCUAUAUUGAGGAAAAUUGCGCGGCACGUAAUUAUCUCGUUGUAAACAUGACAUGUGGGCCUUCUCUCCAUAUUUUCUGAUAAACCCCUGCAGAAAUAGAUAAACACCAAAGCUCGUGGAAUUCUGUCAGAUAAAACCCUAAUUCUAGAUGUUUGUUUCAUAUUGAUCCUUUUUCAUGUUUAUUUGAUUAUUAAUUUUAGUACUUAAGGACCGUCAACAAACUCCCCCAAGCUUACCCUUUGCUCGUCCCUGAGCAAACAGCUAAACUCAGACGGAUCAGGAGUUACUUCGAUGUUUUCUUUCCUGACAGGCACACAUGCUUUUACAUAAAAAUUCUUCCAGAUUAAAGUGAAGUGUUAUGAAGUUUAGUACCUGCACUUAAGUCUUAAGUAAUCGAAAGACAAAAUAGUUAAGUCAAGCACUAUCCCUCCUGUCUAUACUUCACCUUUGUUCUAGAGUUUUUCAUAAGUUUUCAAAAUAAAACUCAGAGUUCCCAGCGAUGAUUCUCUCAAGUCUCUCUAUAUGUGGUAUUUGUGGAUCCUUACCAUAAUGUCACUUACCUAUAGCUAAGGGAAUAUUUAAAUGGAGCUCAUAGGAGUGAAAAACAGCUCAUACAUAUGUUGUCUAAUCGAGCCAUGGAUCCAAAGGAACUCAGCAUAUAAUUAAAUCAAGAUGUGCAUGUGUGAUGGAGUAAAUGAUAGUGAUGGUGAAAAUGCAUAAGUGAUAAUAAUAAAAUUUAGUUCUCAUUGCUCCUUAUAUUGCUAUUUCUCCUCUUCUUUGAUCUUUGCUUUGGGAGAACAUGGGCUAUCUUUUUCUCUCUCUUUUUUUCAGGUAGGUAGUAGAUACCUCUAAUUCUACUGUCGGACACUUGUCUAUUUUUUCCGCUCAAGUGGGCAUCUUUGUACCCCUAAUUCUACUUCGGACACUUGUCCAUUUUUACCUCUCAUCUCACUUUUUUUUCUUUCUUUUUCCGAGGUUCCGGGCACUUGCCUCUUUUUAUUUCCUCGCAUAUUUUUGCAUAACCCAUGCCUCUUCUGCAUUGAAUCUUUUUAGAGAGAGAGAGAAUAACAAUACUUAGGACAGUGAGUGAUAAUAUUUUUAGCAAUUUUAAUGAUUGAUAAUGAAUGCUGUGGUAGAUGCGUGCAAGUGAAUAUCUUAAUUUAACCACAUGAAAAGCUCCUAAGGGUCAACACAGCUCGAUCAAACUCAAUGUAAAUAUAGUAAAAGAUGUUAUAGCAAGUAUGGCUGUGGUAGGUAGUUUUGUUAUGCUAGGAACUCAUCAUGUGAUUUGUAAGUUUUUAAAAUAAAUCUCCAGAACUUAGUGUAGUAGGAACAAGAUAAACAGUAGCUCAACUUUAUAUCAUGCCUUUCUCUUACCUAGACUUUAGUUUUAUGCUUCCCAAAGAUAGUAAUUUUAGUUUUAGUAAUUCGUGGAAGAACUCUAAUAUAAAAGCUAGGUACUUGAAAGUAAGCAAACAGAGCAACUGUUCAUCAUUUCCAUCAUGCAUAUUUUUGGUCUUUUAUUUUUUUAGAGAUUAAGACUUAGCAGAUA